UGGACAGGUCAGUGUUGGUGGUUAGCUAUGGACAGGUCAGUGUUGGUGGUUAGCUAUGGACAGGUCAGUGUUGGUGGAUAGCUGUGUGUUAGCUAUGGACAGGUCAGUGUUGGUGGAUAGCUGUGUGUUAGCUAUGGACAGGUCAGUGUUGGUGGUUAGCUAUGGACAGGUCAGUGUUGGUGGUUAGCUGUGUGUUAGCUAUGGACAGGUCAGUGUUGGUGGAUAGCUGUGUAUUAGCUAUGGACAGGUCAGUGUUGGUGGAUAGCUGUGUGUUAGCUAUGGACAGGUCAGUGUUGGUGGAUAGCUGUGUGUUAGCUAUGGACAGGUCAGUGUUGGUGGUUAGCUGUGUGUUAGCUAUGGACAGGUCAGUGUUGGUGGAUAGCUGUGUAUUAGCUAUGGACAGGUCAGUGUUGGUGGAUAGCUGUGUAUUAGCUAUGGACAGGUCAGUGUUGGUGGUUAGCUGUGUAUUAGCUAUGGACAGGUCAGU